UACGUAGGGCGCAAGCGUUGUCCGGAAUUAUUGGGCGUAAAGAGCUCGUAGGCGGCUUGUCACGUCGGGUGUGGAAGCCCGGGGCUUAACCCCGGGUCUGCAUUCGAUACGGGCUAGCUAGAGUGUGGUAGGGGAGAUCGGAAUUCCUGGUGUAGCGGUGAAAUGCGCAGAUAUCAGGAGGAACACCGGUGGCGAAGGCGGAUCUCUGGGCCAUUACUGACGCUGAGGAGCGAAAGCGUGGGGAGCGAACAGG
rnacentral:rRNA from 1 species